rnacentral:rRNA from 1 species
GAUUCCGAGAUCACUCCAACCCAAUGUGAACGUUACCAAACUGUUGCCUCGGCGGGGUCACGCCCCGGGUGCGUAAAAGCCCCGGAACCAGGCGCCCGCCGGAGGAACCAACCAAACUCUUUCUGUAGUCCCCUCGCGGACGUAUUUCUUACAGCUCUGAGCAAAAAUUCAAAAUGAAUCAAAACUUUCAACAACGGAUCUCUUGGUUCUGGCAUCGAUGAAGAACGCAGCGAAAUGCGAUAAGUAAUGUGAAUUGCAGAAUUCAGUGAAUCAUCGAAUCUUUGAACGCACAUUGCGCCCGCCAGUAUUCUGGCGGGCAUGCCUGUCCGAGCGUCAUUUCAACCCUCGAACCCCUCCGGGGGAUCGGCGUUGGGGAUCGGGACCCCUCACCGGGUGCCGGCCCUGAAAUACAGUGGCGGUCUCGCCGCAGCCUCUCCUGCGCAGUAGUUUGCACAACUCGCACCGGGAGCGCGGCGCGUCCACGUCCGUAAAACACCCAACUUCUGAAAUGUUGACCUCGGAUCAGGUAGGAAUACCCGCUGAACUUAAGCAUAUCAA